ACGAACGCUGGCGGCAUGCCUCACACCUGCAAGUCGCACGAGACCUUCGGGUCUAGUGGCGCACGGGUGCGUAACGCGUGGGAACCUGCCCUUAGGUUCGGAAUAACUCCCCGAAAGGGGUGCUAAUACCGGAUAAUGUCUUCGGACCAAAGAUUUAUCGCCUUUGGAUGGGCCCGCGUUGGAUUAGCUAGUUGGUAGGGUAAAAGCCUACCAAGGCGACGAUCCAUAGCUGGUCUGAGAGGAUGAUCAGCCACACUGGGACUGAGACACGGCCCAGACUCCUACGGGAGGCAGCAGUGGGGAAUAUUGGACAAUGGGCGAAAGCCUGAUCCGGCAAUGCCGCGUGAGUGAUGAAGGCCUUAGGGUUGUAAAGCUCUUUUACCCGGGAUGAUAAUGACAGUACCGGGAGAAUAAGCUCCGGCUAACUCCGUG
rnacentral:rRNA from 1 species